GCACGUGAAGGCGAUCUGGCUGCAACAUCUGUGACCCCACGAUUUGGCCGAUCUGGUUGGCCAGGUGGAUGUCCCCUUCCUCCCUCACCACUCCAUGUACAUCCUUCCCGAAGCUGCACGCCCGGUCAAGGAGCGCCAUUUCCUUGGUGAAGAGUAUACAGUAGUUGUGCUCCUCUGCUAGAACCUCCAAACAAGCUCUCAAAAUAAAGCUUAAAAAGGACUGGCACCCCCCAAAUACAAAGGCCCAAUUCAAAAAUGGGCAUCUGAAAUGAACAGACAUUU
ensembl:misc_RNA 7SK 7SK RNA